rnacentral:sRNA from 1 species
UAACAGAAGGUUUUGCAACAGUGGAUGA